rnacentral:rRNA from 1 species
UACAGAGGUCUCAAGCGUUGUUCGGAUUCAUUGGGCGUAAAGGGUGUGUAGGUGGCGCCGUAAGUGGGGUGUGAAAUCUCGGGGCUUAACUCCGAAACUGCAUUCCAUACUGCGGUGCUUGAGGACUGGAGAGGAGACUGGAAUUCAUGGUGUAGCAGUGAAAUGCGUAGAGAUCAUGAGGAAGACCAGUGGCGAAAGCGGCUUCCUGGUCCAGCAUCGACGUUCAGGCACGAAAGCGUGGGGAGCAAACAGG